AUGGCUCUGAGUCAUCUCAUCGUGACUACGGGGAUACGGUCUGUCUCGGGCUUUGACAGAGGGCCUGUGAGGUUUGCCAAGACUGUUCUGGCUAGUUGGGCCUUCGUUCAGGAGAGAAGAGGACAUGGAAGCUGGAUUGGAUUAGAUAUAUGGAGAGAAGGCUCCAUCGGCAGAAGGAGAUCCUGGACCUCGCAGCACCAUCCCAGAGGGCUGAUGGAGCCUCUUACCAUUUGCUUGCAAGUUUGA
rnacentral:lncRNA from 1 species